UGGCCGGGAACUCAAAGGAGACUGCCAGUGAUAAACUGGAGGAAGGUGGGGAUGACGUCAAGUCAUCAUGGCCCUUACGACCAGGGCUACACACGUGCUACAAUGGCGCAUACAAAGAGAAGCGACCUCGCGAGAGCAAGCGGACCUCAUAAAGUGCGUCGUAGUCCGGAUUGGAGUCUGCAACUCGACUCCAUGAAGUCGGAAUCGCUAGUAAUCGUGGAUCAGAAUGCCACGGUGAAUACGUUCCCGGGCCUUGUACACACCGCCCGUCACACCAUGGGAGUGGGUUGCAAAAGAAGUAGGUAGCUUAACCUUCGGGAGGGCGCUUACCACUUUGUGAUUCAUGACUGGGGUGAAGUCGUAACAAGGUAACCGUAGGGGAACCUGCGGUUGGAUCACCUCCUUACCUUAAAGAAGC
rnacentral:rRNA from 1 species